AUUUAGCGUCCAUCCACAAUGGCAGCGACACAUCCAGCAGCUAAAUGGUGAUCAGGAAUCUGAGGAGGACAAAGGCUGCACAGGAGGAAGAGACUCAUCCUUAUACACCAGCUGACUUUUAGCCAUAUAUCUUCUACUGCUUAUCCGAUGUCGGGUCACAGGGAAAGCAGCCUAAAAUGGAAAGCCCAGACUUCCCUCUACCCGGCCACUUCAUCCAGUUCCUCCUGGUAGAUCCUGAGCAGUUCCCAGUCUUUCCAACGUGUCCUGGGUCUUCCCAGAGGUCUCCCGCCGAUCAGACGUGUCCUCCCCAGUGAGGCAUGUGAGAGGCAUCCUGACCAGAUGCCCAAGCCACCUCAUCUGCCUCCUCUCAAUGUGGAGGAGCAGUGGUUCUACUCAGAAGGAAAGCUCUAUCUCUAAAGCCCAGGAACACUACAGAGAAAACUCAAACCCGGAAACGUGUCCUUUCGGUCACUAACCAAAGCUCAUGACCAAAGGCGAGGGUAGGAACCAGUAAAUGGAGAGCUUUGCCUUAAUUUCGGCUCGGUGAGUCCGCAUCACAGCAGAUGCUCCACCAAUCCACCUGUCCAUCUUGCGUUCCAUCCUUCCUUCAGUUGUGAACAAGACCCCCAGGUAACUCCUUCUCUUGGGGAGUUCUCUGCUGAGAACCACAAACUCGGACUUGGAGGUGCUGAUUCUCAUACCAGCUGCUUCACACUCAGCUACAAACCAAGUGAGAGUUGAAGAUUGCGGUCCAAUGAAACCAGCAGGACGAUAUCACCUGCUAAAAGCAGAGACCCAAUCCUGCAGCCACCAAACCGGAUCCCCUCAACGUUGGACAUCCAAAUUCUGUCCAAGUGAGGAACAGAAUCCGUGACAAUGGGCAGAUAUGACAGAGUCCACCCCUCACUGGCAAUGAGUUCGACUUAUUGCCGACAAUUCGGCCCAGCCUCUGAGACCUGUCAUACAGGGACCAAACUGGUUAGUUGGUCCGGGACCACAUACUCCUGAAGUACUCCCCACAGGGUUCCUUGAGGAACACAGGGAAAUGCCUUCUGCAAGUCCACAAAACCCAUGUAGACAGGUUGGACAAACUCCCAUGUAUCCUCAAGGACCCUGUCCAGAGUGUAGAGUUGGUCCACAACCAAGACGAAAACCACACUGAUCUUCUUGAAUUUGAGAUUCAACUAUCCGGUCACGCCUCCUCUCUGGCUGAGAAGUGUGAAUAGUUGGAACAUGCUCUCCAAUUCUGCAAAGUCUGCCAAUCCGGAGGCACUGCCUCUGAUAUCGAUGCCAUACCGCAGAGUCCUUGGCCUUAAGGAACUCCGGGCGCAACUCAUUCACCCCCGGGAGCUUCCUGACCACCUCGGCAACCUCAGCCCCAGGAGAGCCCAACUCUACCAACCUCAGAUGCCAUUCAAUUGGAAGAUUGGUUGAAAAGGUUGACAUCCACACAUAGUAGUUUCAUAAGCAUAGAGAUCAUUAACUAUCAUCACAUUUGUCAUUGGAACAGUUUAAUUUACUUUUGUCAAAUACAGUCAUUUUAUGUACAGAAGAGGAACUUAGUGGUGGAGAAUGAAGAAGCUGUACAAUAUUUACACAUCAAAACAACAAAUAUGCUCUGCAAAGAAUAUCCUCUGGGAGGUCAAAUCAUUGGAAAUAUCAGUCAACAACAUACAGGAGAAACAUCCCCUCUGUGACAGCGUUUGAAAGAACAGACAUAAAUAGCACAGGUUCAUUGAAUUACAUCAGCCCUGAAGCUCAAGCGCAGGCUUUGGCACUGAGGCUGAGCAGCUCCAUGAAGGAACUAAAGAGGCUCUCCAGCCAGCUCUGGUUGGCCAUGCACUGCUGCACCACCUCCUCCUGGCCGGGGUCGUCUGCUGCCUGCUCGAUGCUGUCUGUCUGCACACCACACACAGAUAUUUCAUUUGUUUGUUCGUUCGUUCGUUUGUUCAUUCAUUCAUUCAUUCAUUUACUACCGUUUAUCCUCACUAGGGUCGCGGGGGUGCU